rnacentral:rRNA from 1 species
UGAAUACGAGAUGCUACGGCGUCGAAGCAGUGUAUGUCAGACUUCCAAGAAAAGCUCGCAAUGUCAUAAAUAAAGAAUGCCUGUACCAUAACCGACACAGGUGGGUAGGUAGAGUAUACUAAGGGGCGCGAGAUAACUCUCUCUAAGGAACUCGGCAAAAUAACUCCGUAACUUCGGGAGACGAGUGCCUUCUAUUAGAAGGUUGCAAUAACAAGAUCCAAGCAACUGUUUAUCAAAAACACAGGUCUCCGCUAAGUCGUAAGACGAUGUAUGGGGGCUGACGCCUGCCCAGUGCCAGAAGGUUAAAGAAGUUGGUUAGCUUUGGCGAAGCUGAUGACUGAAGCCCUGGUGAACGGCGGCCGUAACAAUAACGGUCCUAAGGUAGCGAAAUUCCUUGUCGGGUAAGUUCCGACCCGCACGAAAGGCGUAAUGAUUUGGAUACUGUCUCGGAGAGGGACUCGGUGAAAUAGACUUGUCUGUGAAGAUGCGGACUACCUGCACCAGGACAGAAAGACCCUAUGAAGCUUUACUGUAACUUGAAAUUGAAAUUGGACUUUAUUUGCGCAGCAUAGGUGGAAGGCGUUGAGAUUACUCUUGCGGGAGUACUGGAGCCAUCAGUGAGAUACCACUCCUAUAAUGUUAGAUUUCUAACUUUGGAUCAUGAUCUGGUCAAAGAACAGUUUCAGGCGGGCAGUUUGACUGGGGCGGUCGCCUCCCAAAUGGUAACGGAGGCGUACAAAGGUUUCCUCUGAACGGGUAGAAAUCGUAUCUAGAGUGUAAAGGCAUAAGGAAGCUUGACUGUGAGACCUACAAGUCGAGCAGGGACGAAAGUCGGUCUUAGUGAUCUGACGGUGCUGAGUGGAAAGGCCGUCACUCAACGGAUAAAAGUUACUCUAGGAUAACAGGCUGAUCUCCCCCAAGAGUUCACAUCGACGGGGAGGUUUGGCACCUCGAUGUCGGCUCAUCGCAUCCUGGGGCGGUAGUACGUCCCAAGGGUUGGGCUGUUCGCCCAUGAAAGCGGUACGCGAGCUGGGUUCAGAACGUCGUGAGACAGUUCGGUCCAUAUCCGGUGUAGGCGUUAGAAUAUUGAGAGGAGCCUUCUUUAGUACGAGAGGACCGAGAAGGACAUACCUCUGGUGUACCAGUUAUCGUGCCAACGGUAAACGCUGGGUAGCUAUGUAUGGAGAGGAUAACCGCUGAAAGCAUCUAAGUGGGAAGCCCACCUCAAGAUGAGUAUUCUCA